rnacentral:rRNA from 1 species
AUUGAACGCUGGCGGCAGGCCUAACACAUGCAAGUCGAACGGUAACAGGAAGCAGCUUGCUGCUUUGCUGACGAGUGGCGGACGGGUGAGUAAUGUCUGGGAAACUGCCUGAUGGAGGGGGAUAACUACUGGAAACGGUAGCUAAUACCGCAUAACGUCGCAAGACCAAAGAGGGGGACCUUAGGGCCUCUUGCCAUAGGAUGUGCCCAGAUGGGAUUAGCUAGUAGGUGGGGUAACGGCUCACCUAGGCGACGAUCCCUAGCUGGUCUGAGAGGAUGACCAGCCACACUGGAACUGAGACACGGUCCAGACUCCUACGGGAGGCAGCAGUGGGGAAUAUUGCACAAUGGGCGCAAGCCUGAUGCAGCCAUGCCGCGUGUAUGAAGAAGGCCUUCGGGUUGUAAAGUACUUUCAGCGGGGAGGAAGGGAGUAAAGUUAAUACCUUUGCUCAUUGACGUUACCCGCAGAAGAAGCACCGGCUAACUCCGUG